rnacentral:lncRNA from 1 species
UAAAAUAUGACAAAGGCAAAAUGAUUGGCUCACAGACAUUUUGCCAAAAUCUUAUUGGUUAACUUUAGCCAAUCGGUAGUAUGGGUACACCUGGACCUGGUGUGGCUAGAAGGGCAGGUGUUGAUAACUAUCAACCAGUGGCACACUGUCAUCACUUUUCAUAUUUACUGUAGACUCUUUUUAAUGCAGAGGACAAAGCAGCAAACACUGGUGUAGAGACCUGAGGAGUGAUCUUGAAACAAUCAAAGGUUUCUCUGUAAAUAAAAUUAAUAUGAAUUCACCGACCCAAAAUUCCACUACCAGCAGCUGCAAUGAUGCUGAUUAUGACUACAGCGAUCCCUACAGCAACUGCACAGACCCUAAAGACUUCUGCUGGUAUUUUGAGGACAACAUUAGCAUCUUGACAUGGAUAAUUGUUUGUGUCAGCCUUCCUUUGACCCCACUGGCCAUCUUUUUUCUUUGUAAGCAGGUGCGAAAGGAUCACAUCGGUCAAAUCUAUCUCAUCAACCUUCACAUUUCUGACCUUGUUCAGCUCUUCUGUAUGGUCGUUCACAUGUCAGGUGUUGAGGACUUCCUCACAUGGAGAAUAUUUGUUCGCUGUGUCUACCCUUCUGGUCUGAUGGCAAGUGUUGGCUUCAUGGUGUGUGUUUCCAUGGAAAGGUAAACAUCUGUGCUGUGUGUUUGUAGCUACACCAGUGUCUGAGCAUUUACUGCUUUUUAUUAGUAUAUCUUUUCAAUACUGCUCUGUUUCAACUCCUUUGUGUGUCUUUCUUGUAUAACAGGUAUUUGGUUGUUGCCCAUCCAGUGUGGUACCAACAGAGACGAACAAUCAAGGUCACUGUGGUGGUCUGUGUCUCAGUCUGGAUCCUUUCUGUUUUUGUUGGCCUCUUAAAUAACGACUAUUUGGGUGCCUUCCUCAUCAUUCCCCUUCCUCUUCUCUUUUUCUUCCUUAUUAGAACUAUUAAAGCCGUGUCUGCAACCAGUGUCCCCUCUGAUGAAAAACAAAAAAUUGUGGCAGUUUUGGUGGUGGUGGUGCUUAUUUACAUAUUGGUGUUUGUGCCCAGAACCAUUUUUGAAAUACUGCUCCUGACAGAUACAAAUUGGCAGACAUUGUACUUUGUGUAUGACACUACCUGCAGUUUAGUUCAGCUGAAUCCCCUUAUAGACUUGAUUAUGUACUUUUUCAUUAACAAAUGGGUGUUAAACAAGCUUUUUAGUUGUCUGUGUUGUUGCAAAUUGGACAGCAAUGAUCUCAGAACUUCAGUGACAACAACAUGAAAUCAGAAGGAAAUUGUGCAAUUUCUGAAUCACCUUAAUGUGGAUAAGUGACGUAUGAUUUUGUUGGCGUGUUGGUUUAAUGGGAAAUGGCUGUUCAGGCAAUGUUUCUGUUGUUUAUUAGGGUUAAAAUGCACAUAAUAUGCAUCAAUUAAUACAAUCAGCAUAUGAUAUCUUCUUUCUUUUUCUGAUUAAUCAUUUUCUUUCUUUUUUUUUUUGACCAUAGAAGUAUUUUUGUUCAUUUAAAUUGAUUAAAUAACUUGAUUACUACCCAUGUCAAUCAUCUCUGUUUGCGUAUAUAUAUACAUAUAAUUUUUUCUGAAUAAUAAUCUAUUUAUGUUUUGUUGAGACAAUUUUUGUUUGAUCUUUUGUGCCAUUGGCUGUAAAACUAUCUGCUCUGUCAGCAGUGAUUCAACAACAAAAUACUUUUCCCCCCAAACGAUAGGGGAAAACGACAGAAUAAUCAACAUAUACUCUUAGAAUUGCUUUAAAUCCCUUUGAUUUCUGCAGUCUGACAGUGCAGUGUGGUCUAGAAAAGCAUGUAUAAAAACCAAUUUUAAAACUCCAGUUUGUACUUAAUAAUCUACAAUGUUAUGAUAUAAAUAAAUGAAUAAAGUCUUUAUUGUUGUUCAUGUAACCAUAAAAAAGAGAAUAAAAUCAAUUAACUCAAAUCCCACUGUGCAGUGUCAUGUCAUAUUAAAAGGAAUCGAGUUAAUUGAUCUAACACACUGGUGUAUGUUUAAUAUCAUCUUGCAUCUAAACAUUGGAGCCUGUUGAUUUAAAACCAGUGCUUGUAACUUUUCCAUUUUCUUUUCCAUUUUUGUGAUAAUAAGAGAUUAAAAACAUGUUUUGACAACUGCUUUGUUUACUUUAAUAAAUUGUUUACUGGAUG